rnacentral:piRNA from 1 species
UUCAUCUGCAAUGCAGAAAGGGUGGAGGUU